GUAGCGUCUGAUGUAGCUGAUGGUUGUAGCAGUGGAGCUGGCUGAUUAAUUCAACAGAGUGGAUUUCCGCAGCUCGCUGCACACGCGUAUAGUGCGCGAGAGAGAACGGGGGAAAUUGAGCAGAGGAAGAGAGCGAGAGCGCAUAAGAGAAAAGGAGAAAAUGAUGGAGGAAGGGUGUUAAGGAGGAGGGUCUUCGGGGGUGGGGAGAGUGAGAGGAAAGGGAGGAUAGGAAAGAGAGAGUAUGUGGAGAGGGGGCGGAGGAAAGAGAGGAAGAGAGAGAGAGGGAGAGAGACACGCAGGCCCCGGAGCUGCUACUGAUGCUGCUGCUGCUGCUGCUGAUGCUGCUGCAGCCGUUUGACAAUUCCCCACCCAGAGAGAGCAGGGAAGAAGGGAGGAGAUCAGAGCAAGCAGGAAGAAGGAGUAAGCGACACCUCAGUCAAGAUGCUCCUGUGCUAGCCAACACACACGAGAGCAAAGCUCCAUGCUGCCUCGCAGGCGAAAAAUCGUCUAAACCUUGAGCUGAUCAACCACCACCUGAAGACGUCCAAGUAUGACCAGGUGCGAACAGACUAUGACCAGCUGAGACAGACCUUUGCUGUAGUGAGCCAGGAGAGAGACGUGGCCCAGCAGCAGAGGAGCCAACUCCAAGGCAAAGUGGAGAACCUGGAACAGGUUCUAAAGGUGAGACGUCACUACGUUGUGUUUGCUUUCCUCUCAUGAUUCCAUAAACAUGAUCCCAUGAACACCUAAAUGUAAAUAUCAAUUAAG
rnacentral:lncRNA from 1 species